UGUUCACUCAGCAGUCGCCACCUCAGUUUGCCCAGCAGGCCGGUAACAACAUGUACAAUGGUAACGGCAUGAACCUCAACGUGUCCAUGGCCACCAACUCAAGUAACAUGGGCCAAAUGGGCAACCAGAUGAGCAUGAGCUCUAUGAACUCUGGACCUGGGGGCAGCAUGGCCAACAUGGGCCCUGAACAGCAGAAGUAUUGUUGACCCGGGGCAGACGACAUCCCAAUACAGUAAACCGAGUUUAAUGAAGAUGUUUGAUGAGUGAUUUUCAGCUGCAGUGUGAUCAAGGAGAGAUUGGAGUGAUGCUGUGCUGUUUAAGCUGCUAUCGGGGCUGUAGGGGUCUUUAGAGAGCCUGUCUACUGCCCCCUACUGGACAUCUCUAGAGGCUGCAUCAGGGGUACUGGAGCUCAGAGGGGAUGGACACUCUGCCUCACUCUCUUUCUCGCUCACACACACACACACACAGACACUUUGAUCUUCUGACACUUUGACCUAGAAUCCCCCGCCCCUCCUUCAGUCGAGCACGGCCUUCUGUCUCGUACUUACACUGCAAGCCCUUUCAGUCAGUCUGCUCCGUUGCAUUCACCGUAGUGUGACUUAGGUCUCCCCUGAAAAGACUCUGUGACAGUGACAUCGGAAUCCUUGUCUCCCUUGAAUGUAUUCCUCCCUCUCUUUUUCCCUGUCUUUCUUCCUGGUUCGUCCACUGGACUUCAGACUCUUCUUAAGAAGACGUUCUUUUGCCCAACCAUCGUUCUCUCUGACUUCUUUCCAAUCUGACGUUCCAAAACAGGCAAGAAGACUGCAUUUAUAAUCCACGCUCAAAAUUCAGCCAUUUUGCCUUUUUGUUUUCUUUUUUUUUUCAGUGCAAAUAAAGAUAGAAUGAUGUUGAAAAAGUGUCUACAUAUAGAUUAUGAGAAUUCAGAUGAUGGUUUGUAAAAUUAGAAUUAAUUUAGUCAAGAGGUUUAUUGUGUAUUAAAUUAAGUUUUAUUCUAAUGUAUAGUUUCUUUUUUAAAUAACAUUGUAGAUUUCUUUAUAAACCAUGGUUAGAAAUCUGAGUGCAUAUGAAUUGCCUCAGAAUAAGAAAAAAGUUCAACAUACCUAUGGAUUUUGUUUUCCUUGGUCCAGUAGUUUCAGAGAACCUGAUUUUGUUUAGUUGUGGUUAGUAAAAUGAAAUGCUGGUAGAUUGUAAAUACCAAUAAUGGAGGGGAAUUUUUUUCGUAUUAUAUUUAUUUUUUAUUUUGUUUUUCGGUAUAUUUCCCCUUCCUCCCCUCAAAGUCUGGUCUUAACUGUUUCUGGAAUGAGGGCGAAUUUCUCACGAUGAGCGUGUUCGUUUGGCGGGAAGAUGAGGAUGUGCUGAUUCCUAUGGUACUAAGGAAGGGGAGCUGGGGUGAGGUGGUCCUUCUUUCCUGGGUGGGGGUCUGGGAGGGUUCUGUGUGUACAGUGUACAGAUACUCGCUUGCUUCUAAGCCUUUAGCCGGGAGCCCCACCGGAGGAACCCAUCACAGCCAUAAACUCAACACUGAAGCGUGCUUUCUUUGUUGUGUGGAGUGACGUGCUUCAUGCCAGACGCUAUAGGUACAAGCAGAAUCCGGUGUGUGUAAGAAAAUACAACAAGCAAUAAAUAUUACUUGAGAUUUUAUUUUGUUUUGUUUUGUAAUUUUUGUACAGGACUUUUCAGGAGACACAUUUGUGCUCCCCGGUUCAAACUCAGUAUUAAAGAUAGAUUUUUUUUUUAUUAUUAUUAUUGUUGUGGUUUCUAUUUUGAGAAAGACAAAAACAAGAUGUCCAAAUCUACUUGUUCCUCAGUGAAAAGCAGGUUUUAGUUCUGGUGUAGCCAAAAAAAAUGUUUAAUAAAUUUAAAAAAAAAAAAAGCAGCAUUUAUGUUUUGCGUGGCUAUUCCUACAUUCACAUUAAUGUUCGCCGUCUUGAAAACCUCCGGAUCAACGGUUCAGAUUUGAAUCAGCGGUCACUACAGGCACGUGAACUCUUAACGCUGUAAUGUAGGCUACGCAAUACAGUUUGUGUUUUCUAGCCUAUUUGAUGACGAAGCCAAGUUUCCUUGCCUUUGAAUUGAUCAGUAGACUUAAACAUACCUUUCAUUUCGUUUUCGUCUCAUGUCUGCACACGGUUUGUAUCGGGAUUAGAUUGUCGGGCUUUAGCUUUCGCUGAAAAUAUCGCCAUGUCAUCUGUGUUCAAGCUGGUGUGUUAAAAAAACAAAACAAAAAAA